GUUUCCACCACUUCAUCCAGGGCACACGCAUCUUCGGUGGGACUUGGGAUUCCUGAAUUGCCUUUGUGAAAAGCAGGCAUAAUUUCUUUAAAUUCCUUCUCUUAGUUUUCCAUGUGAGUAUUCAUGAUUGUUACAGAUUU
rnacentral:other from 1 species